CAUUUUUGUCACAACUUUUAUUGACUUGUAGUCCCAUCAGCACAUAAAGGAGAGUAAUAAAUGUAGAACUGAUCCUUCAGGCAACUUCUAUUCAAUGUUAUCCUUCUAGCAUUACUUAUCUCUGUUGAACUGUAUAGUAUAAGGGAGGCACAAAAUCUCUGUAUGUGGAAUAAGGUGGAGAGUCACCACUAUUUCUGUAACGCUUCUUUGCAGCUGCACAGCAUCUCCAUUUUCUGUCUUUGCAGUAAUUUUGCUGUGGCACAGAGAAAGUGAACUGACAGUGGCUGAAUCCUGUCUCACAAUCUCACACAGAGGGUCUGGGCCACCAGCAGUGUCCAUGGAAUACAGAGGAUGGCAGGGCAGACCAGAAAGCUGUGAUACUGCCGUUGCCCCGGCUCUGACAGCGUUUUUUGAGGAGCACAUGGAAGCCACUGGCCAAAGGCAGCAAUCCGCCUCCCUUUCAAACUCCCAAACUGGGACCUUACACAGGAGCUUUCCUAGCAAGUCCCAAUGCAACUGCACAUUCAGAGAGAGCCACCCAGAACUGCACUUUGGGAUGGGUGCAAUGCCAAAGCUGCUGGGACUCACUGGACUUCAGAAAAAGAAGAGCUGGGAACAAAGGUGAUUUAUUCCAGGGAGCCACAUAUUUCCUGCACUGAACUGUUGGAAAUGCUGCAGCUGCUUGGAUCAGCAGCUCCGGGAAAGAUCCACUGAGGGUGUUACUUUAAUGGGUAAGUUCUUCCCCACAUGUCCUUCACUAUGAAAAUAUCAGCCAGGAGGAGGCAAAGCCUUGUGACAUUCAGGUUGCUGAAGUCAUUGCUUUUGGUAUGAAGCAGGUUGGUGGCUCUAGGCUCACGUGGGAGGACCAGCCUUGCUCAGAAGCAGCAUGGCAGCUGCAAGGAAGUCAGCCUCUUUCCCUAUGCGUUUUUCUCAUUUCUACUCAAUACUCCUCUUCUCUGUACUUUUCAGGGACAAGUACAAAGCUCACACGGUCGUGUUGCUUGUUCCAAAUGUUCAUGUUGAUAGGAGAGAACAAGCCAUGUGGCUUCAGGUGGAAACACUGAGAACAAGAAGAAUACAGACUGAAAAAAAGCUAAAGGUAAAUUAAACUUCUAUAAAUACAAAGUGUAGCUAGGGAUGAAGGGAAGAGAAAGAAGGUACUAGGUCAGGAAAGGGAAACAAUAACUUCGGGGUGGGAUAUAGGAAAGCAUAAAACGUCACAGUAUGAUCCACUGUCGGUCCAGCUUACCAGCAUGGUAAUGCACAGCCUUGUUGAGGUGCCCUUCCCUGCAGGGCGCAUUGGAAAGAACUCUAGUAGCCCUGCGCUUGCUGCUCGGCAGGGCUCGAGCAGAAUGGAACGCUUUCCUUUGCAGUCCCUAGUGGCUAAUCCAGUAUAGCAGUUACAGCAACACUAGAAGACACAAUCCACUCAGGAGAUACUUGCCUUGCAUUGAAAAGGAAAGACCUGUGUGGGCUUCUGCUAGAAUCCCAAAUUUGGUCUGAUUGUAAUAAUGAAAUAGACUGAGUUUACCUUCUGCUCAUCUGCUAGCACUGCAUCAGCAUUAAAUCCUCUCUGAUCUUGAGCAGAUACUGGCUUUCUUUCCACCACUCUAGUUGAGAAGAGU
rnacentral:lncRNA from 14 species